GAGGGCACAAGCCUGGGAAAGUAGGGGAAAAAGAUUAGAUUGCGGAAGGAAGGGCACAAUCCCUGGAGAAUCCAGAAAAGAAAUUGGUGGACACUGAAGAAAUACUUGCUGAGUUGUGAUGACAGACCUCAGUCCCAGUCUGCAAUCUGUCACUGUUGCUGUGGAGGGUCACUUCAAUAGUAACUUUACCAACAUUCUCAUCUGUAAAAUGGGGACAAAGAUAGCUACUUUGCAGAAUUGUUAUGAGAAUCAGAGAAAGGAGUUGGCACCAGAAGAUGUUAACAAGAUUGAAGAUAGUAAAUUGAACAGGACGUUGCCCUCCCUGUGCACUGGUUUUGGGAUCUGAUGGGGUUUGAACCUUGGCUGUACCCCUUACUGGGUCAGUGGCCUCAAGGAAGGCCUUGCUGCCUCUUUGCUGCAGUUUUCUCAUCUGGAAAGAGGGGGUUAAAUGAGGUUACCCAUCUUACGUGUCAGCUAGUGCCUGGCACAUACACAAUGGAUGCUAAAGGCCACGGCCAUUUCCAGAGGCGUUAUCGUUGCCUCGGCCCACUGGAUUGCACAAUGACCUCAGAGUCAGAAGAAUUUGGACUGGAUAACUUUUCCAUUUUUUCACUUUAGUAAACUAGGAAUAAUAAAA